AAAGACAGUUGGGUAAGAAGGUGCAGUAUCAGGAAGUUGAGAAGGAGACGUGGCAGAGGCGGCCAACCCAACAGAAAUCUGCAGCUUCUGUCUCUUUUCACAGUGCCCUGCAGCCCCACUGGUAAAGUAUAAAUUCCCAUCUCCACUGAUGUUGAAUAAAGAGUUUCCAUUGUUCAUGUAUAAGAUUGGAUCUUUGAUGUUGCAAGACUUGUAAGAUUCUUCUGUCACUUGGAUAACUGAAUCUUGACUUGGUGGGUACAAGAACACUGUAAAUCAAUCAAAACACUCAAUCUAAGUCUAUAUAUAUACAAACACAUCCAAAUCUUGAAACAACAGAAAAAGAAAAUACUAACAGAGAGAAUCUCCAAUCUUGAAACUGUGGUACUUUGACCAUUUGUUGUAAACCUGUGGAUUAACUUCGCUGGGUACUCCCCAAGCAUUCAGAUCUCCAACCUUGUAUUCCAGGGAAUUAACCACCAAAAUAAGCUGAAAAGUACAGAGCAAAUACCAUCCAAGAUUGCUCAUCCUUCAACCUUUUACUUUUUUUCUUUUUCUUUUUUAUUGCCUAAACUCCCUCUUCCCUAUUAAAAGAUUUUGAUAUUUAUAUACACUCAAGUCCCAAAAGACCUAGGAUAUAAAAGGAAUUUUAAUAUUUUGGAGACAAGGGUUGGAAAAGAAAUCAAUCAUUUGGCUAACAAGGGCACAUGGCCAGUUGAGAUUCGUGAAGUGGGGAUGUCUUUGUUUUAAUAUAUAUAUAUAUAUAUAUAUAUAUCAAAUAUAAUAUUUGAGAAGAAAAAUGCCUCCCUCCCAAUCAUCCUCUAACAAGUUAAUUAAUCAUGGGGAAAAAUAUGGCUUCAAAAAUUUUAAAAUCUUAAUGAACUUACAGCUAGCAAUCAAGUGAAUUCUUUUUUCUUUUUUGAAAUAAAGCAAUCAAGUGAGUCCUUGAUAGCAGAUAUAGACAUCAAUGGGAUGGGGGCAUGUUAUUUUUUUCAAUUCUUUUCCAGAUUUUCUAUUACCAUGUUUUAUACUUCAAGAAGAAGACAUUUACCGUGAUCCCAGCUAUUAUGCAGCAUAUAAUAAUCUUUCUUUUUCUCUUUCUAAAGUUCCUCUUCUGCCUUCUGUAUAAGUGAACUUUUUUUAUAAAAACAAACACCCAUAUGUGCAACCAAACAUUGAGUAGAACUAUAUGCUAAAUUGGAUCAUCAUAGUAUCAAUCAGUCACUUUAUCCGUUCAAUCUGGACAGCAUUAGCAUUGUUUUCUAAAGCACACAGACACAGACACUGUAUGUAUGUAUAUUGCCACAACAACCAAAAAUUAUCUCCUGCAAUGAAAUUGAUAAUGAUACAACUGCAUAAAUUAUGAACAAGAACAGGAAAUCUUCAUUUCACUUAUUAAUCAUUAAAAAAAUAGUUGACUGCACCAUAAUAGCUGAGAGAAAUCACAAAUAAUUGUGCAUUUUCGGCUGGAUAGGGGAGUAUUUCCUAUAGUUCCUUGACCUAAAAAACAUAUCCUUCACUCUAAAAGCACCACUUUUCCACCAUCAAAAUUUCUUUAUCAAACACGGAGUUGACUCAUAUUCCUCACUUAUUAAUCAGAUUGCAGACAGCUAACUGGCUACACUACAACACCAGAGAGUAAGAAAAAGUGGCUGCUUGCAACCUUGCGAGUUCCAAAGGUCUAAUUCCAUGAAAGUAAUUAAUCAUUUAAUGGCUCAGACUCCGUGUCCCUUUCUUUGAUCAUUGACCAAUCUUGUGAUCCUGCAUUAAAGAAGGUUACCGAUAGUAGUUACAAUAACUAAAGAUGAUUAUGGCCAUAAACAAUCAGACAACCAUUCAAGGAAUUUUGUCAAUGUGCAAAAUAAAAAGAGAGUUCUGAAUCUGAAAAUACAGCUGGCUUCCCAAUGCUUUCCAAUAGUUGGCUUGUAAAUUAUCAGUUUGUGUAUUUUGAGUUCAGAGUUCAAGCACUUAGAAGAACUACAAAUGAUGAGGACUUACUUGACUUUUGGAUCUCAGAAAUCACUGUAAGUCGCCUUUGCAAAAGAGAUGCCACAAACAGGAAGAUUGAGCACAUGCCAAACAUCACAGUGAUAGGAAAUGCGUCGACCUUCAAACAGGGAAAUGGUAGAAUCACUCCCAACAUCAGUAAAGAAUUACAGCAUUAUCCAAUGCCUGAGCUCUCCAUUUAUUUUUCUUCAUAAUUUAUAAAUAAUAUCUCUUGAGGGAGUGUGGUUUUGUAAAGUAGGUAUUAUCUUGAUGAUGCCAAUUAAUGUCACGCCACAAAAGGGAUACAUCUC
rnacentral:lncRNA from 1 species